GCACGAUUAGUGUAGUGGUAACACCGGUGCCUUCCAAGCACCUAUCGGCAGUUCAAAUCUGCUAUCGUGCU
rnacentral:tRNA from 1 species